rnacentral:rRNA from 1 species
UGGGGAAUAUUGCACAAUGGGGGAAACCCUGAUGCAGCGACGCCGCGUGAGCGAAGAAGGUUUUCGAAUCGUAAAGCUCUGUCCUAUGAGAAGAUAAUGACGGUAUCAUAGGAGGAAGCCCCGGCUAAAUACGUGCCAGCAGCCGCGGUAAUACGUAUGGGGCGAGCGUUGUCCGGAAUUAUUGGGCGUAAAGGGUACGUAGGCGGUCUAUUAAGUCAGGUGUGAAAGCGUGAGGCUUAACCUCAUUAAGCACUUGAAACUGAUAGACUUGAGUGCAGGAGAGGAAAGUGGAAUUCCUAGUGUAGCGGUGAAAUGCGUAGAUAUUAGGAGGAAUACCGGUGGCGAAGGCGACUUUCUGGACUUUUACUGACGCUCAGGUACGAAAGCGUGGGGAGCAAACAGG